rnacentral:rRNA from 1 species
AACGAACGCUGGCGGCAGGCUUAACACACGCAAGUCGAGCGCCCCGCAAGGGGAGCGGCAGACGGGUGAGUAACGCGUGGGAAUUUACCCAGUGGCACGGAACAACCCAGGGAAACUUGGGCUAAUACCGUAUAAGUCCUUCGGGAGAAAGAUUUAUCGCCAAGGGAUGGGCCCGCGUAGGAUUAGCUAGUUGGUGGGGUAAAAGCCUACCAAGGCGACGAUCCUUAGCUGGUCUGAGAGGAUGAUCAGCCACACUGGGACUGAGACACGGCCCAGACUCCUACGGGAGGCAGCAGUGGGGAAUAUUGGACAAUGGGCGGAAGCCUGAUCCAGCCAUGCCGCGUGAGUGAUGAAGGCCUUAGGGUUGUAAAGCUCUUUCACCUGGGAAGAUAAUGACGGUACCAGGAGAAGAAGCCCCGGCUAACUUCGUGCCAGCCGCCGCCGUAACAC